rnacentral:rRNA from 1 species
AGAGUUUGAUCAUGGCUCAGGACGAACGCUGGCGGCACGCUUAACACAUGCAAGUCGAACGAGAGAAGAGGAGCUUGCUUUUCUGAUCUAGUGGCGGACGGGUGAGUAACACGUGAGCAAUCUGCCUUUCAGAGGGGGAUACCGAUUGGAAACGAUCGUUAAUACCGCAUAACAUAAUUGAACCGCAUGAUUUGAUUAUCAAAGAUUUAUCGCUGAAAGAUGAGCUCGCGUCUGAUUAGCUAGUUGGUAAGGUAACGGCUUACCAAGGCGACGAUCAGUAGCCGGACUGAGAGGUUGAUCGGCCACAUUGGGACUGAGACACGGCCCAGACUCCUACGGGAGGCAGCAGUGGGGAAUAUUGCACAAUGGAGGAAACUCUGAUGCAGCGAUGCCGCGUGAGGGAAGAAGGUUUUAGGAUUGUAAACCUCUGUCUUCAGGGACGAAAAAAGACGGUACCUGAGGAGGAAGCUCCGGCUAACUACGUGCCAGCAGCCGCGGUAAUACGUAGGGAGCGAGCGUUGUCCGGAAUUACUGGGUGUAAAGGGAGCGUAGGCGGGAUCGCAAGUCAGAUGUGAAAACUAUGGGCUUAACCCAUAAACUGCAUUUGAAACUGUGGUUCUUGAGUGAAGUAGAGGUAAGCGGAAUUCCUAGUGUAGCGGUGAAAUGCGUAGAUAUUAGGAGGAACAUCAGUGGCGAAGGCGGCUUACUGGGCUUUAACUGACGCUGAGGCUCGAAAGCGUGGGGAGCAAACAGGAUUAGAUACCCUGGUAGUCCACGCCGUAAACGAUGAUUACUAGGUGUGGGGGGACUGACCCCUUCCGUGCCGUAGCAAACGCAAUAAGUAAUCCACCUGGGGAGUACGACCGCAAGGUUGAAACUCAAAGGAAUUGACGGGGGCCCGCACAAGCAGUGGAGUAUGUGGAUUAAUUCGAAGCAACGCGAAGAACCUUACCAGGUCUUGACAUCGUAUGCAUAGCUCAGAGAUGAGUGAAAUCUCUUCGGAGACAUAUAGACAGGUGGUGCAUGGUUGUCGUCAGCUCGUGUCGUGAGAUGUUGGGUUAAGUCCCGCAACGAGCGCAACCCUUACUGUUAGUUGCUACGCAAGAGCACUCUAGCAGGACUGCCGUUGACAAAACGGAGGAAGGUGGGGAUGACGUCAAAUCAUCAUGCCCCUUAUGACCUGGGCCUCACACGUACUACAAUGGCUGUCAACAGAGGGAAGCAAAGCCGCGAGGUGGAGCGAACCCCUAAAAGCAGUCUUAGUUCGGAUUGUAGGCUGCAACCCGCCUACAUGAAGUCGGAAUUGCUAGUAAUCGCAGAUCAGCAUGCUGCGGUGAAUACGUUCCCGGGCCUUGUACACACCGCCCGUCACGCCAUGGGAGUCGGUAACACCCGAAGCCUGUAGUCCAACCGCAAGGAGGACGCAGUCGAAGGUGGGAUUGAUGACUGGGGUGAAGUCGUAACAAGGUA